rnacentral:rRNA from 1 species
UACGUAGGGUGCGAGCGUUGCCCGGAUUUAUUGGGCGUAAAGGGCGCGCAGGCGGCCACGCACGUCCGUUGUGAAAUCGCCCGGCUCAACUGGGCGGGGUCAGCGGAUACGGCGCGGCUGGAGCAAGCUAGGGGGCAAUGGAACUCCCGGUGUAGUGGUGGAAUGCGUAGAUAUCGGGAGGAACACCGAUGGCGAAGGCAGGUCUCUGGGCCACUACUGACGCUGAGAAGCGAAAGCAUGGGGAGCGAACAGG